rnacentral:rRNA from 1 species
GAUGAACGCUGGCGGCGUGCCUAAUACAUGCAAGUCGAGCGAACGGACGAGAAGCUUGCUUCUCUGAUGUUAUCGGCGGACGGGUGAGUAACACGUGGAUAACCUACCUAUAAGACUGGGAUAACUUCGGGAAACCGGAGCUAAUACCGGAUGAUAUUUUGAACCGCAUGGUUCAAAAGUGAAAGACGGUCUUGCUGUCACUUAUAGAUGGAUCCGCGCUGCAUUAGCUAGUUGGUAAGGUAACGGCUUACCAAGGCAACGAUGCAUAGCCGACCUGAGAGGGUGAUCGGCCACACUGGAACUGAGACACGGUCCAGACUCCUACGGGAGGCAGCAGUAGGGAAUCUUCCGCAAUGGGCGAAAGCCUGACGGAGCAACGCCGCGUGAGUGAUGGAGGUCUUCGGAUCGUAAAACUCUGUUAUUAGGGAAGAACAUAUGUGUAAGUAACUGUGCACAUCUUGACGGUACCUAAUCAGAAAGCCACGGCUAACUACGUG